UAAACUAGGAUUAGAUACCCUAUUAUUUUAAAUGUUAAUUUUUUACCUGGGUAAUAUUAGUUAUUUUCUUUAAACCUAAAGAAUUUGGCGGUGUUUUAGUCUAUUUAGAGGAAUUUGCCCCGUAAUCGAUAAUCCUCGUUUUAUCUUUCUUGAUUUAUUUAGUAUGUAUAUCGCUGUUAUAAGUUUAUUUUAUAAGAAUUUAUAAUUUACUUUAUUUAUUAAUUUAAUUUAUUUCAAG
rnacentral:rRNA from 1 species